rnacentral:rRNA from 1 species
UACGUAGGGGGCAAGCGUUGUCCGGAAUCAUUGGGCGUAAAGCGCGUGUAGGCGGUUCAGUAAGUCUGCUGUGAAAGUCCAGGGCUCAACCCUGGAAUGCCGGUGGAUACUGUCGGGCUCGAAUCCGGAAGAGGUGAGUGGAAUUCCUGGUGUAGCGGUGAAAUGCGCAGAUAUCAGGAGGAACACCAAUGGCGAAGGCAGCUCACUGGGACGGUAUUGACGCUGAGACGCGAAAGCGUGGGGAGCAAACAGG